ACGGGUGCGUAACACGUAUGCAAUCUGCCCCUAACAGGGGAAUAGCCCGGCGAAAGUCGGAUUAAUACCCCAUAACAAUGUGAACCGGCAUCGGUUUAUAUUUAAAGCUCCGGCGGUUAGGGAUGAGCAUGCGCGACAUUAGCUAGAUGGCGGGGUAACGGCCCACCAUGGCUACGAUGUCUAGGGGGUCUGAGAGGAUUUUCCCCCACACUGGUACUGAGACACGGACCAGACUCCUACGGGAGGCAGCAGUAGGGAAUAUUGGGCAAUGGACGCAAGUCUGACCCAGCCAUGCCGCGUGAAGGACGAAGGCCCUAUGGGUUGUAAACUUCUUUUGUACGGGAAGAAACCCCUCUACGUGUAGGGGGCUGACGGUACCGUAAGAAUAAGGAUCGGCUAACUCCGUGCCAGCAGCCGCGGUAAUACGGAGGAUCCAAGCGUUGUCCGGAUUUAUUGGGUUUAAAGGGUGCGUAGGCGGAUUACUAAGUCAGAGGUGAAAGUUUGCAGCUUAACUGUAAAAUUGCCUUUGGAACUGGUAGUCUUGAGUAUAGUUGAGGUGGGCGGAAUGUGUCAUGUAGCGGUGA
rnacentral:rRNA from 1 species